GAUGAACGCUGGCGGCGUGCUUAACACAUGCAAGUCGAACGAUGAAAUGGAGCUUGCUCCAUGGAUUAGUGGCGAACGGGUGAGUAACACGUGAAUAACCUGCCCUUAAUUUUGGAAUAACCCAGGGAAACCUGGGCUAAUACCGGAUAAGUAAACCUGUGGCAUCACAUGGUUUUGGAAAGUUUUUCGAUUAAGGAUGGAUUCGCGGCCUAUCAGCUUGUUGGUGAGGUAAUGGCUCACCAAGGCGACGACGGGUAGCCGGCCUGAGAGGGUAAACGGCCACACUGGGACUGAGACACGGCCCAGACUCCUACGGGAGGCAGCAGUGGGGAAUAUUGCGCAAUGGACGAAAGUCUGACGCAGCGACGCCUCGUGAGGGACGAAGGUCUUCGGAUUGUAAACCUCUUUCAGCAGGGACGAAGCGAAAGUGACGGUACCUGCAGAAGAAGCACCGGCUAACUAUGUGCCAGCAGCCGCCGUAA
rnacentral:rRNA from 1 species